AUAGUUGUAUGUUAAAUUUGAUUAUCCAUGAUAGACGUGCCACAGAUACCUUAACAAAGGGAUGCUAUAUUGUAAAAUGGAGCUAAUCCUCAAAAUUGGUUAAUAAGAAUUGUAGUCUGAAAUUCGACUACAUGAAUAAGGAAUUACUAGUAAUCGUGAAUCACCACGUCACGGUGAAUCUAUUC
rnacentral:ncRNA from 2 species